AACAUCGCGCACCUGCGGGAACCUGCGGAAGGAUCAUUACAGAGUUGCAAAACUCCCUAAACCAUUGUGAACGUUACCUAAACCGUUGCCUCGGCGGGCGGCCCGGGUCCUUCCCGGCGCCCCUCGGCCCUCGCGGGCGCCCGCCGGAGGUAAACCAAACUAUUGCAUUGUAUGGCCUCUCUGAGUCUUCUGUACUGAAUAAGUCAAAACUUUCAACAACGGAUCUCAGAUCGGAAGAGC
rnacentral:misc_RNA from 1 species